rfam:Picea glauca, whole genome shotgun sequence.
AUACUUACAUGGGCAGGGUCAAUCGAUGAUCAGGAAGGUCGAUUGCCUAUGAAGGACACCUCCAUUUCACUUGGGAGGGGGGUCUACCUAGCAUCUCCCACAGAGGAGAGUGCACGCCAUAAUUUGUGGCAACAGAAGCUCGGGUUCGCGUAGACUCCAA